UAGGGAAUAUUGGACAAUGGGCGAAAGUCUGACGCAGCCACGCCGCGUGAGUGAGGAAGGCCUUCGGGUUGUAAAGCUCUGUCGCCUGGGAAAAACGGCUAUCCGGGGAAAGUUCGGGUAGCGUGAUGGUACCAGGAAAGGAAGCACCGGCAAACUCUGUGCCAGCAGCCGCGGUAAUACAGAGGGUGCAAGCGUUGUUCGGAAUUACUGGGCGUAAAGCGUGCGUAGUCGGUAUUGAGAGUCGCGGGUGAAAUCCCAGGGCUUAACCCUGGAACUGCCUGCGAGACCUCAGUACUAGAGUGUGAGAGGGGAUAGUGGAAUACCCAGUGUAGCGGUGAAAUGCGUAGAGAUUGGGUGGAACACCGGUGGCGAAGGCGGCUAUCUGGCUCACAACUGACGAUCAGGCACGAAAGCGUGAGGAGCAAACAGGAUUAGAUACCCCGGUAGUCCCUGAGCGGGCUGGCAAGGCGCAU
rnacentral:rRNA from 1 species